rnacentral:rRNA from 1 species
AGAGUUUGAUCCUGGCUCAGAUUGAACGCUGGCGGCAUGCCUUACACAUGCAAGUCGAACGGCAGCAUGAUCUAGCUUGCUAGAUUGAUGGCGAGUGGCGAACGGGUGAGUAAUACAUCGGAACGUGCCCUGUAGUGGGGGAUAACUAGUCGAAAGAUUAGCUAAUACCGCAUACGACCUGAGGGUGAAAGUGGGGGACCGCAAGGCCUCAUGCUAUAGGAGCGGCCGAUGUCUGAUUAGCUAGUUGGUGAGGUAAAGGCUCACCAAGGCGACGAUCAGUAGCUGGUCUGAGAGGACGAUCAGCCACACUGGGACUGAGACACGGCCCAGACUCCUACGGGAGGCAGCAGUGGGGAAUUUUGGACAAUGGGGGCAACCCUGAUCCAGCAAUGCCGCGUGUGUGAAGAAGGCCUUCGGGUUGUAAAGCACUUUUGUCCGGAAAGAAAUCGCACUUACUAAUAUUAGGUGUGGAUGACGGUACCGGAAGAAUAAGGACCGGCUAACUACGUGCCAGCAGCCGCGGUAAUACGUAGGGUCCAAGCGUUAAUCGGAAUUACUGGGCGUAAAGCGUGCGCAGGCGGUUGUGCAAGACCGAUGUGAAAUCCCCGGGCUUAACCUGGGAAUUGCAUUGGUGACUGCACGGCUAGAGUGUGUCAGAGGGGGGUAGAAU